rnacentral:rRNA from 1 species
UACGGGGGGUGCGAGCGUUGUCCGGAAUCACUGGGCGUAAAGGGCGCGUAGGUGGUUUGCUAAGGGGGUGGUGAAAGUCCGGGGCUCAACCCCGGAUCUGCCGUGCCGACUGUCAAACUCGAGGACUGUAGAGGCAGACGGAAUUCCGGGUGUAGCGGUGGAAUGCGUAGAGAUCCGGAGGAAGACCGGUGGCGAAGGCGGUCUGCUGGGCAUGUCCUGACGCUGAGGAGCGAAAGUGUGGGGAGCGAACAGG